rnacentral:rRNA from 1 species
CGCGGCCUAUCAGCUUGUUGGUGGGGUAAUGGCCUACCAAGGCGACGACGGGUAGCCGGCCUGAGAGGGUGACCGGCCACACUGGGACUGAGAUACGGCCCAGACUCCUACGGGAGGCAGCAGUGUGGAAUAUUGCACAAUGGGCGCAAGCCUGAUGCAGCGACGCCGCGUGAGGGAUGACGGCCUUCGGGUUGUAAACCUCUUUCAGUAGGGACGAAGCGCAAGUGACGGUACCUACAGAAGAAGGACCGGCCAACUACGUGCCAGCAGCCGCGGUAAUACGUAGGGUCCGAGCGUUGUCCGGAAUUACUGGGCGUAAAGAGCUCGUAGGUGGUUUGUCGCGUUGUCCGUGAAAACUCACAGCUUAACUGUGGGCGUGCGGGCGAUACGGGCAGACUGGAGUACUGCAGGGGAGACUGGAAUUCCUGGUGUAGCGGUGGAAUGCGCAGAUAUCAGGAGGAACACCGGUGGCGAAGGCGGGUCUCUGGGCAGUAACUGACGCUGAGGAGCGAAAGCGUGGGGAGCGAACAGGAUUAGAUACCCUGGUAGUCCACGCCGUAAACGGUGGGUACUAGGUGUGGGUUUCCUUCCUUGGGAUCCGUGCCGUAGCUAACGCAUUAAGUACCCCGCCUGGGGAGUACGG